GAUGAACGCUGGCGGCAUGCUUAACACAUGCAAGUCAGACGGGGAGUUAUGUUUCCAGUGGCGGACGGGUGCGUAACACGUAAGCACCUUCCCUUGGGGGGGGGACAACAACUGGAAACGGUUGCUAAUUCCCCGUAGCCUGGGGCGCUUAAGGAGGAAUCCGCCGGAGGAGGGGCUUGCGUCGGAUUAGCUAGUUGGUGAGGUACUAGCUUACCAAGGCGAUGAUCAGUAACUGGUCCGAGAGUAGGAUCAGCCAAACUGGGACUGAGACACGGGCCAGAGUCCUACGGGAGGCAGCAGUGGGGAAGUUUGCGAAAUGGGCGAAAGCCUGGUGGAGCAAGGCCGCGUGGAGGUAGAAGGCCCACGGGGCGUGAAAUUAUUGUCUCGGAGAAGAAACAAUGACGGUAUCGGAGGAAUAAGCAUCGGCUAACUCUGUG
rnacentral:rRNA from 1 species